GAGGAAUAUUGGUCAAUGGGCGAGAGCCUGAACCAGCCAAGUAGCGUGCAGGAUGACGGCCCUAUGGGUUGUAAACUGCUUUUGUAUGGGGAUAAAGUCAAUCACGUGUGAUUGUUUGCAGGUACCAUACGAAUAAGGACCGGCUAAUUCCGUGCCAGCAGCCGCGGUAAUACGGAAGGUCCGGGCGUUAUCCGGAUUUAUUGGGUUUAAAGGGAGCGUAGGCUGGAGAUUAAGUGUGUUGUGAAAUAUAGACGCUCAACGUCUGACUUGCAGCGCAUACUGGUUUCCUUGAGUACGCACAACGUUGGCGGAAUUCGUCGUGUAGCGGUGAAAUGCUUAGAUAUGACGAAGAACUCCGAUUGCGAAGGCAGCUGACGGGAGCGCAACUGACGCUGAAGCUCGAAGGUGCGGGUAUCGAACAGGAUUAGAUACCCUGGUAGUCCGCACAGUAAACGAUGGAUGCCCGCUGUUGGUACCUGGUAUCAGCGGCUAAGCGAAAGCAUUAAGCAUCCCACCUGGGGAGUACGCCGGCAACGGUG
rnacentral:rRNA from 1 species